ensembl:lncRNA
AGAGUUUAAGUGCCACAUCGCAAAACCACCUAAAAGCGGUGUUGUUAUUUGUACAGUGUUGAAAUGCGCCGACAUUUCAUGUAACAUGCUUAACUGUACUUGCAAUGCAAUGAUUCAUGUGCUAGUCCACUAGUUUGUUUUGGUUGCCACAGUUACGACCGUGACACGGAAGUCUUAACAUACUUCCGGAGCAACUUUAAACUGCGCAUGCGCAGUGCAUCAACGCUAGUGUAAACAAACUCCAAGGUGUUGCUAAGCUAACGAAACAGUUGUAUUUACAUUGAAGUCUAUGCUAAAGCUACUAGCCUCAAAGGUUAGCCGUUAGCAUUAACAUCCAGUGGUUGAAUAGUGUCUGUUUGGGCAACGCUAAAGUGAUUUAACCCUUUGAACAUCUCAACUAAUACACUUGUUGGUCUCUUUCUCUCUCUUAUUUCUCCCUUUCUUUUCUUUUCCGUUGAGAGUUUCGUGUUCUGAGUUAAGUUUUGUAACGCCGUGUCUCCCAGUCUUACCUCGAGUGCCCGUUCAACUUCAACCAGCCCACAACUCCGCUUCCCAAGACGUCACUUCAACGACUACUGAACUUCCAGCCAGUCAGCAACCUCGGGAAACCCCCUUUUCAGCGACAACAAAGGGAACCCCCGUUACACAGGCAAUGCAAGUAACGUACCUCCAGUCUCACAUCUGGUGCAUCUAAUAUAAUUUUUACCUCAUUGAGGAACCAGUGUUGCCAACUUAGCAAUUUUGUUGCUAAAUUUAGCAACUUUUCAGACUUCCUUAGCAACUUUUUCCUUCCUAAAGCACCUAGCAACAAAUUUGGCAAUUUAAAAAAAUUAUUUGGCAACUUUUAGUGACACGUUUUCCAUCCAAAUUUCACAAAAAGAGGAAACCAAAGAUGCCUAGCAGUACACACAUCACAUGAAUUAAGUUAGAUGCUAUUUGCAAUUAUUAAAUUUAAUAAUAAUAUUAUUAAUAAUAAUAAUAAUAAUAAUAAUAAUAAUAAUAAUAAUAACAUUAUCCACUGUAACUUGAAAAAACAACGCGUAAUUUAAAUUGCAGGUAAAAAAACAAUACGGAAAAUGAUUUCAUAUUAACAUACUAGAUCGUGCCCUAUUUUUACAGACAUUUCUUAAAGUUUAGCAUACUAACUAACUACUAAUACACUGAUUAAAGCAUAAUUGUUGUGAAUGUGUAGUAUUACUAGUUUACUAGCUAUUAAAAAAACUUAAAUUGUAAUCAUUCAAAAAUGUGUUCAAUAAUUCAAUGUAUUUAAAAAUACAGUUAUUUAUAUUUAAUUAUAUUAUGCAUAUUAUUUUACAAACAAAUCUAUAAUGACAUAUAUAAAAUAUAUUUUUUUGCUGAGAUUUGAUGUUGUGACAAUUUUGCAUCUUGAUUACGCAAUUACGUCAUCGCGCAAUGACAUCACAAUGUCAUUUAGCAACUUUUAGCAACAAAUCGUCCUUCCUUUAGCAACUUUCUCUGAAGAUUAGUUGGCAACACUGUGAGGAACUCAAUGCGAGGGUUAAUUAAGUGACUGAUGGUUGUUUAUGUCUAUGCAAUUUCACGUAUUGCUGUAAACUUGGGAUUUCACAUUUUCAUUCUUAAACCCAUUCUUUCCAUAACUUUCUAUCUUCCUGCAACUUGUGUGAAUGUGAGUGCAUGUGCUUAUGUGUUAGAUUAGUUUAUAUGUCUUAGAUUUAUCUAAUAAAGCCUUAUUCAUAUUGAAAAGAGAAGUAUCUUGUGUUUUGUGCUUACAAGUUAGUCUUAAACUGCCGAUCUUGUUACUGUCCUAAUUAGUAGUGUUUUCACUAUACUUUGGAUAUUAAUAUCCAGUGCAGAUUUGAUGUUAAAUGGCUCGUUCAGUGAAUCGCUGGCCGUGUC